rnacentral:rRNA from 1 species
UGGGGAAUAUUGGACAAUGGGCGCAAGCCUGAUCCAGCCAUGCCGCGUGAGUGAUGAAGGCCUUAGGGUUGUAAAGCUCUUUCGGCGGGGACGAUAAUGACGGUACCCGCAGAAGAAGCCCCGGCUAACUUCGUGCCAGCAGCCGCGGUAAUACGAAGGGGGCUAGCGUUGCUUCGGAAAUCACUGGGCGUAAAGGGCGCGUAGGCGGACAUUUAAGUCGGGGGUGAAAGCCCAGGGCUCAACCCUGGAAUUGCCUCCGAUACUGGGUGUCUCGAGACCGGAAGAGGUGAGUGGAACUGCGAGUGUAGAGGUGAAAUUCGUAGAUAUUCGCAAGAACACCAGUGGCGAAGGCGGCUCACUGGUCCGGUUCUGACGCUGAGGCGCGAAAGCGUGGGGAGCAAACAGGAUUAGAUACCCUGGUAGUCCACGCCGUAAACGAUGGAUGCUAGCCGUUGGCAGGCUUGCCUGUCAGUGGCGCAGCUAACGCUUUAAG